AGAAAGAUCGGCGGAAGGGGUUCCUGUUCUGCGGGCGUGCCUCCGCCGUCGCGGGUCCUCCGUUGCCCUUCCACCACCGCUGAUGUCCUCCACCGCCGUUGCUUGCCGUUUGAAGCUGCUGCAUCGCCACUGCUGGAGGUCUGCCCCGAUCUGGUCUGAGGGAGAGGAAAUGCAAACGGAAGAGGAGGCGGAGAGCCAUCGCUGCUGUUGCUGAACCACGGGAGUUGCUGCGAGGCUCGGCCACCGGAGAACGCCACUGCUGUCGUCAAUGGCCGCUGCCGUCGCCGUCACCAGGGUUUUCGCUCGCGACUGUCACUUAGGGUUAUUAGUGGAGCUAUUGCCGGGUCGAUUCGGAAUCGCAGCUGCUUCAUUUUGUUAUUUCGGUAAGUAAUUAUGUUUCGAAAAGUCUCGCGUUAGUAUUCUGUUGUAUUUGAUUAAUGAAUAUGAGUUUUGGUAACGUGGGGUCGAUCCUGAUUUUUAUAUGUUGCGAUUAGAGUUGUUGUGGUUGUUAAGAAAG